CAGUGAACAUGGUGGGGAUACGUGAUAAAAGCACAUCUGAAACCAAGUGCUCCCGUUCAGAGGACGAGAAGCCCCUCUCCAACUGUGAGUGAUUAGCUGAAUGUGACUAGACAGAUAGAUUGAGAAGGGCUCUCAGACUCUACCUCCACAGGACUACUGAGCUCUCAUUUAACAGUAUCAUCCCCUUUGACUUUGAGUCAAAUAUCUAAAAGAAGCAUUUUGCCUCUCUGUCUAUUUUGGGCCACCUUAGAAUUAGAAACAAUGAGUAAGAAAACAGCAAUGAAGUAGAUGAAAGCUGAAACUCUGUGGCACGUAUCAAGACCCUAUAUCACAUCCUCCUCUCAAUUGCCAAGGCUCAGGGUUCAUGAUGGAAGAGAAGACAUAAAGAAUCUACAGGAAGCCAGCAGGGGUCCCUCUUCUGACCUCCACAUCUUCAUCUGAUCUGAUCUGAUCGGAAGAAGCACCUGACAAGAUGAUUUUCAG